CGUCGGGGCAUGGGGGGGGCUUGGGGUGGAGCGGGGGCCCCGGGGGGGCUCUAACCACCUGUAUCUCCCCAGGCCCCCGUCCUGUGAGCCCCACAACAGCUUCAUGCUGCUGACGCGGCCCAGGUCCCCCUCUCGCACCCCGAUCAAGCAGCAGCCGGUGCCCUCAGCAGAGCCGUUCCUGUCCAUCCCGAGGUCGCCACAAGCCCCUCAGAGCCGCAAGGUCUCCUUCACCCAGCCAGAACCGGACAACGACAGCGUGCCCAGCUACGAGAACGAGGGCGAGGCGGGCGGCCAUCCCCGGGGCGCCUGGCCGCGGGCCCCAUCCCCUGCCCCGCUGGCAGCCCCUGAGAGCGAGGAUGACUACAACAACGAGCUCUACGCCACCGGCUACGUCGAGGUGCUCCCGGAYGGCGCGGCCCAGCCCAGCCCGCCCCAGCAACCCCAGGCCAGGGACAGCGGCUCCUCCGCGGCGCCCGGUGAGGAGUAUGAGAACGUCCCCGACGCCCACCGCCAGUCCCUAGCUGACAGCCUGGAGUACGUCAAUGUCCCCGAGGCCGGGGCCAGCCCCACGCCCCGCUACGGUGAGCAUUUUGGGGCCGCUUGGGCCUGCCCCGUGGCGGCUGAGGACCCCCCCCAUGACUACGGGCGGCCUGACACGAGCCAGGCCCCCCCUCACUGCGGGGCACCCCUCUGUCCCCUGCAGCCAGCGAGAGCGAGGAGGACGCCCCAGACUACGAGAACCUGCAGCGCUGAGCACCAGGUAAACCCCGGCCGGCACCGCGUCAGCACCGCGCACCCCACACCCGGCCCCCCCGCCCCGCCCCGGUCCCUCGGGCCCAAGUGAUCCUGGUCUCUCUCACAGGCGCCGCCGGCCACGGCCCCGCACCAGCGCCAGGACCGGCGGCUGGAGUCCCUUGGAACCAGCCGGGCCCCCCCGACCCUGUUAAUUUAUUGCAUCCCCCCGUCUGUGCACCUUCUUCUGACACAUCCUGAGAAGCACCCCCCGCUGGCCCCCGGCCCUGACCCGGGGGCCCGGGGGUCCCCAUGCCCCGACCCGGGGCCCCCGUCCCCCCAUAACGCUGAAUAAAGCCGUGGGAGCCGCACCGAGCUGUGCCUGG
rnacentral:lncRNA from 1 species